UUGAUCUCAAAUCAGGUAGGACUACCCGCUGAACUUAAGCAUAUCAAUAAGCGGAGGAAAAGAAACUAACAAGGAUUCCCCUAGUAACUGCGAGUGAAGCGGGAAGAGCUCAAAUUUAAAAUCUGGCGUGCCUCCGGUCGUCCGAGUUGUAGUCUGGAGAAGCGUUUUCCGUGUUGGACCGUGUAUAAGUCUCUUGGAACAGGGCGUCAUAGAGGGUGAGAAUCCCGUCUUUGACACGGACUACCAAUGCUUUGUGAUGCGCUCUCAAAGAGUCGAGUUGUUUGGGAAUGCAGCUCAAAAUGGGUGGUAAAUUCCAUCUAAAGCUAAAUAUAGGCGAGAGACCGAUAGCGAACAAGUACCGU
rnacentral:rRNA from 1 species